rnacentral:lncRNA from 1 species
CAAAUUUGACCGCUCCUGUGACAUCUGUCGCAAGAAACUGACAAAAUAUUGGUUCUAUCAGUGUAUUGGAUGCAGAUAUUAUGCUCAUUUUAGUUGCGCAUCAGAGGAGAUUUCAGGGUUUGUCCUUUUCUUUCCUAAUUUAUAUAAUCUUUUUUUUCUUCAAAAAUCUUGUUUAUAGUUUAGUGCAAAAUACUCAUAAUGUAUCCAAAAUUAAUUAGGUUCACAUCGUCGUUUGGGUACUUUUAUAGUCAUUUUUUUGGUUUUAUAGCAUUGCUGAACCUUUUUUUUUUCUUGGGGCAUUCUAAUACUUUAUUGUUAAUUCUGUUUGGUUUUAGAAAUGAAGAAGAAGAUGUUCUUGACCCGAAUGCGAUCCUCUUGCCGAUGCCAAAUGAAUCCAUAAAUUUAAUAAAUGAUUUUGUCAAAAGUACGAAGCUGGAAAACAUCAAGAUAGUAACAAAUUUGGACUAUUUUGGUCAUCCCCACACAUUAGCCUUUUUU